GACGAACGCUGGCGGCGUGCUUAACACAUGCAAGUCGAACGCUGAAGACCUGGCUUUUGUUGGGUUGGAUGAGUGGCGAACGGGUGAGUAACACGUGAGUAACCUGCCCUCUUCUUUGGGAUAACGCCCGGAAACGGGUGCUAAUACUGGAUAUUCACUGAUCUUCUCAUGGGGGUUGGUGGAAAGGGUUGUUCUGGUGGGGGAUGGGCUCGCGGCCUAUCAGCUUGUUGGUGGGGUGAUGGCCUACCAAGGCUUUGACGGGUAGCCGGCCUGAGAGGGUGACCGGUCACAUUGGGACUGAGAUACGGCACAGACUCCUACGGGAGGCAGCAGUGGGGAAUAUUGCACAAUGGGCGAAAGCCUGAUGCAGCGACGCCGCGUGAGGGAUGGAGGCCUUCGGGUUGUAAACCUCUUUCGCUCAUGGUCAAGCCGCAACUGUGGGUUGUGGUGAGGGUAGUGGGUAAAGAAGCGCCGGCUAACUACGUG
rnacentral:rRNA from 1 species